rnacentral:lncRNA from 1 species
CGAGCGCAACAAACACAUGACUCUUAGGCCAAUCCAAAUAGUAUAUUGUUCUAAACUCUUUCCCAAUUAGCAUUGAGAAAAGGAUACGACAAAUAGAGUUAUAAAUAUUUUAGAUCAUUACAUAACGGAAAACAAAGUUAAGUAAUCCACAUACUCACAUUAACACACACAGACACAGAUACACACAAACACACACACGCACGCACACACACAAACGCGCACACACAAACAGAGAGACACUGAC